GUGGGGAAUCUUCCGCAAUGGACGAAAGUCUGACGGAGCAACGCCGCGUGAGUGAUGAAGGUCUUCGGAUUGUAAAGCUCUGUUAAUCGGGACGAAAGAGCCUAGUGUGAAUAAUGCUAGGAAGUGACGGUACCGGAAUAGAAAGCCACGGCUAACUACGUGCCAGCAGCCGCGGUAAUACGUAGGUGGCAAGCGUUGUCCGGAAUUAUUGGGCGUAAAGCGCGCGCAGGCGGAUCUGCCAGUCUGUCUUAAAAGUUCGGGGCUUAACCCCGUGAUGGGAUGGAAACUACAGAUCUAGAGUAUCGGAGAGGAAAGUGGAAUUCCUAGUGUAGCGGUGAAAUGCGUAGAGAUUUGGAAGAACACCAGUGGCGAAGGCGACUUUCUGGACGAUGUCUGACGCUGAGGCGCGAAAGCUAGGGGAGCGAACGGGAUUAGAUACCCGGGUAGUCC
rnacentral:rRNA from 1 species